GCCAGCGUGGCAUAGUGGAAUUAGCAUUAGGGACUACAACUCUGGAGACCAGGGUUCAAUUCCCAGGUCAGCCA